UCACGGCUCCAGCCGCCAGCAACCAAUGAAGGCCGGGGUCGCCGCUCCUGCGCAUGCGCCCUCACGGCUCCAGCCGCCGGCAACCAAUGAAGGCGCGGGGGGGGGGGUCGCCGCUCCUGCGCAUGCGCCUUGCCUUCGGCGCACGAGCGGGGACCCGUAGCUGUCCGAGGUCGGAGGUCGGCGCACGAGCCGGGGCCCAGUGGCUGUCGGAGGUCGGAGGUCGGCGCACGAGCGGGGCCCCGUAGCUGUCGGAGGUCGGAGGUCGGAGGUCGGAGGUCGGCGCACGAGCCGGGGAGGGGGCGGUUCCGGUUAGAGUCAGCGGUCGGCGCUUGACAUCCAUAGGCUCUUCACAGUCGGGCUUGGCGCUUGUCUAAGGCUUCGGCCGCUCCGGGAACUCCACGUGCUAGGCCGUCGUGGAUGGGGGCGGUCUUUAGCAGUUCUUGCAGAGCAGCACUAACGUCCACGACACCUCCAGCAGCACUGCCUCCCUCCGCCACGUUGGCGGUUUACCGGUGAAGCCCAGUCUUGAACGCACCCAGGUCUCCGCCUCCGCAGGCCCGGUGCUGGGGGGGGCAGGUCUCUUGGGGCCUCCGGGGCCCCAUGGGCUUCCUGGAGAGAUGGGGCACCCUGGCCCCCCAGAACCACCUGGCCCAGCAAGGCAGCCUGGGCCCCUCACCAAACAGCAGCCCCUGGGGCGCCCUCUACUCCCUGCAACCACCUACAGACAAAGACAAUGGAGACUCAGGACUGGCCUCUGCUAUCGUGGACACAGUGCUGGUGGGUAUCCCAGGACCCCGGGGUCCCCCCGGCCCACCAGAUCCAGAACAGGUGCUGGAGUGGGAGGCUGGGGGCGCCCCUCUCUGGCCCCAGAUGACCAGCUGUGACUCUGCCCACAGGUCCUCCCGGGCCACGAGGUCCCCCAGGACCACCUGGAUCCCAGGUCCUCCUGCUAGAAGCAGCAGAACGGCCCUUGAGCCCAGACAAUGACCUGCCAGCCCCCCAGAGCACCCCGCUGCCCUGGAACGAGUACUUCCUCCCUGACGCCAUCCCUCUCGCUCACCCGCGGCCACGACAGAGAAGGCCCACGGGCCCAGCUGGUGAGUGAGGGCUUCAGAGAGGACAGGCUGGAGCAGCCAAAGGGACCUCGGGCAUGGCCUCCCGAGGAAGGCCACACACGCAGCUCUCUGGUUCCUACAUGCCACGUGGCAUUUUGAAAAAUUAAGCUUAACUGUUGGAAACUGGGAAAUUUCACCUAAAAGCCAGGAAUUUUAGUUUCUUUUAAAAAGUAGGCCAUCUGGCCAGGCGCAGUGACUCACACCUGUAAUCCCAGCACUUUGGGAGGCUGAGAUGGGUGGAUCACCUGAGGUCAGGAAUUCGAGACCAGCCUGGCCAACAUGGUGAAACCCCGUCUCUACUAAAAAUACAAAAAUUAGCUGGGAGUGGUUGUGCACGCCUAGAAUCCCAGCUACUUGGGAGGCUGAGACAGGAGAAUCGCUUGUACCCCGGGAGGUGGAGGAUCCAGUGAUCUGAGAUUGCACCAUUGCACUCCAGUCUGGGGUACAAGAGUGAAACUCCAUCUAAAAAAAAAAAAAAAAGAAAAGGAAAGUAGAUUGUCUGGAGGGGAGUAAUGGCUCACACCUGUAAUCCCAGCACUUUGGGAGGUUAAGGCGGGCAGAUCACUUGACGUCAGGAGUUCAAGACCAGCCUAGGCAACGUGGCAAAAGUCCUGUUUCUACUGAAAAUACAAAAAUUAGCCCGGCACGGUGGUGCAUGCCUGUAAUCCCAGCUACUCCUGUGGCUGAGGCAUGAGAAUUGCUUGAGCUGGGGAGGUGGAGGUUGUAGUGAGACCCAAGACCGUGCCACUACCCUCCAGCCUGGGCGACAGGAGUGAAACUCUGUCUCAAAAAAAGAAAAAGUAGAUGAUCUUGGCCAGGUGCAGUGGCUCACACCUAUAAUUUCAGCAGUUUGGGAGGCUGAGGUGGGAGGAUUACUUGAAGCCAGGAGAUCGAGACCAGCCUGGGCAACAUAGUGAGAUCCUAUCUCUACAAAAAAAAAUUAUAAAAAUAAAAACGAGAGAAUUGGCCCUCAGGACUGGCCGUCCCGCAUGGAAACAAUCAUCUACUGUGGAGUCACAGUUGCCACUGCCGGUCCGGUCCAGGCCGUGCAGUUUGCCACAGUCCCCACCAUUCCCUAUUGUCUUACCUCUCAGCUACUGUCUUUACUCUCAGAUACUCAGGUGUCUGCCCUGCCCCUUGGCUUCUGCACUUAGGAUCCCCAGCCCAGCCUUCUGGGUUUAAUUUUACAGUAUUCUGCCUGGCCAGGGAGCGGGAACUUACUGCCUCCCACCUCUUUCUGGAGUUUGCUGUCUGAACACUCUGGCUAGAAUUGGAGGACAUCUGCCACUCUGCCUUUCUGCCACACUUUUACAAUUUAAUGUAAUUUAAUUUAAUUUUGAGACAAUGUCUUGUGAGGGAUCUGUGGGGAUCUCUCCCAUGUGAGGCCCCUGGGAAAUGGGCCUCGCCAUACGGUGAGCUUGAGCCUGGACACAGAUCCCUGGUUGGGGGAGUCGAGCUGAGGGAAAGCAGGAACCGAGAGAGGGACUAUGUUAUUCAAAAUAGUUAACAGACAUUACUUUAUGAAUAUGAGGACUUGGGAGGCAUUGUGUCUACUUUUGGCUCCUUAUGGUUUAUUGUCUCAUUGUGUUCAUUUUGGACCAGUGUUACCUUCAUUGCAAUAUAUUAACUUAAAUAUUUACACUUGGUAACUUACUUACCGUAACUUACAGGGCGUAACUGUAACUUAUUUACCUUAAUUUACAGGGCGUAACUGUAACUUAUUUACCAUAGCUUGCAGGGCGUGAUUGUAAUUUACUUACUUUGACCUAUUGGGCGUAACGUACUUAAUGGGAUUAACUUACUUACUGGGCGUAACUUGCUUACUGUAAUUUAAGUAUGUUGAUCUGGCGUAAACAACUUUAACUUCAGAAAAGUAUAUAAUGAAACACAUUGCAAAAAUAAAAUUGCUGCAUGAGCAUAGCGCAUGUAGCCCUCCAGACCUUGCCUUUUCUAUCUCCUUUUUUUCUGGCACACGCUCUCUUGCAGGUUUGGGACCCUCUCGCUGGACGAGAUUCCCGGGCUCGCGUUCAGUUCACAACAGUCUUGCUCUGUCACUGAGGCUGGAGUGCAGUGGUGCGAUCAUAGCUCACUGCAACCUCCAUCUCCCAGGCUCAGGUGAUCCUCCCACCUUAGCCUCCCAAGUAGUUGGGACUAUGAAUACACACCACCACACCUGGCUUUUAAAAAAAUUUUUAGUAGAGAUGAGGUCUCACUAUUUUGCCCAGGUUGGUCUCAAAUUCCUGGCUUUAAGCAGUCCUCCUGCCUCGACCUCCCACAGUGCUGGGAUUACAGGCAUGAGCCACCACAUCCAGCCUACAGAUAUCAUUUUUCAUCUUCACACAAAGCUUGGAGACCUUGAGGUUACAGGGAAGAUGCCUGAGGCUCAGAGAAGUUAAGUGACACCCCUGCGGUGUCACUCGAUGAUUCUCUGCCCUUAGAGCCCUUUGGAGGGGGCAGGGCACUCUCCCUCUUCCCUCUCUGUCUCCCAUCUGUUCUGUGUCUAUUCUGGUGCCGGGCUGGGGAGCAGGGCCAGAGCAGGGAGGAGAGAUGCGUGACAGAGGUGGCCUCCAGUGGCCAGUCCCAGGGCUGGAGAAGGAGAGGUGGGCAUCCUGCCUUCUUCAAAAGGGACUGAAGGCUUCAGGAAGAGGGUCGAGCUCAGUUCUUCUAUGAGAAGGGAGACAUCUCUCACUCUGGCCCCGUGGCCCACCCCUCGAGCCGCUGUCCCUAAGGUCUCAUCCCCAGAACGUCACCCCAUGCCCACAAUCUUCAAAUCUUUCUUUGGGGAUGGAGGAGGGGGCUUCCCAUCCCACCGGGGACCCCCAAAGGGGAUUCCUGGUGUUGGAAAUAGAUGCUUGGUGCCACAGAGACAAAGGAUCUUUUAGCAACACAAUUUUUACUUCCUGAACUGCAGGAAGGGGCCCUCACUAGUCAUUGUGCCAUGAGAGUGCAGUGAACGAAAGAAAACACACAAAUUUAUCCCUUGUGCAUCUGGGGUCGUCCUUACUGCUGUGUCUGCUCUCCGUUGGCUGGAGCCAGAUCUCACAAGCUAAACUAAAACCCGGAUGGCUAACAACUUAAAAUUUUUCUAAACAGGUAAAAGCAAUGGAGAGCUGGGGCAUGUCUGUGAGCACGUCCAGCACAGAUAUCUCGGUUAAAGUACAAGGACGUAGAAUGUAUUACGUGCCUGUAAACAUGGCGUGUCUCACAGCUACAGAGAAUAGGACUUAACAAAGUCAUUAGCUCGCUUAUUCUUUAACAAGAAAGGAAACUUUAUUUUAUUUAUUUAUUUAUUUUGAGACAGAGUUUCGCUCCUGUUACCCAGGCUGGAGUGCAAUGGUGCGAUCUCGACUCACCGCAACCUCCGCCUCCUGGGUUCAGGCAAUUCUCCUGCCUCAGCCUCCCGAGUAGCUGGGAUUACAGGCACGCGCCACCAUGCCCAGCUAAUUUUUUGUAUCUUUUUUUUUUUGAGACGGAGUUUCGCUCUUGUUACCCAGGCUAGAGUGCAAUGGCGGGAUCUCGGCUCACCGCAACCUCCGCCUCCUGGGUUCAGGCAAUUCUCCUGCUUCAGC